AGAAGAAAGAGUAGCUCGCUGGAUUUGAUCCGUUUUAUGUCCUAGAAAACAUCUGUACAGGUCACACUGAACAGCAGAUUGUUGUCUCAAGCCAGUGCUGAUCAAUAACAGUUUAGUUGCAGUAUGUCAGAGAAGAGAGGAAAUAUGAGUCUCUCACAGAAACAGAGUGUAAGAACAGAAUCACAUGUGUCCAGCUCUGUGUCUGUGAAGAGUGACUGGUCAAAGGGUGAUCCACCGAACUUCAUUGAGAAAAAAACAUCAUCUACCAAAAGUGUAAGAUCAGGCUCACAUGUGUCCAGCUCUGAGUCUGUGAAGAGUGAGCGUUCAAC